rnacentral:rRNA from 1 species
ACCUGUGUUCCACGCUGUCGGUUCGCCGCUCGUCGGUGUUAACUGGCAUGUCCUGUGGAACGUCCUGCCGGUGGCGGUCCGGGCUCUCGUCUCUGCGUAAAGGCUCACGCCCGAAGCAGGUCGAAUAGUUCCGGCCGCCGGUCCAAUCCCGCCACGGUGCUCUUUACCGAGUGUCGAGGUGGGCCGGCACGUUUACUUUGAACAAAUUAGAGUGCUUAAAGCAGGCUGAUUUCCGCCUGAAUACUGUGUGCAUGGAAUAAUGGAAUAGGACCUCGGUUCUAUUUUGUUGGUUUUCGGAACCCGAGGUAAUGAUUAAUAGGGACAGGCGGGGGCAUUCGUAUUGCGACGUUAGAGGUGAAAUUCUUGGAUCGUCGCAAGACGAACCUAAGCGAAAGCAUUUGCCAAGUAUGUUCUCGUUAAUCAAGAACGAAAGUUAGAGGUUCGAAGGCGAUCAGAUACCGCCCUAGUUCUAACCAUAAACGAUGCCAGCCAGCGAUCCGCCGAAGUUCCUCCGAUGACUCGGCGGGCAGCUUCCGGGAAACCAAAGCUUUUAGGUUCCGGGGGAAGUAUGGUUGCAAAGCUGAAACUUAAAGGAAUUGACGGAAGGGCACCACCAGGAGUGGAGCCUGCGGCUUAAUUUGACUCAACACGGGAAACCUCACCAGGCCCGGACACCGGAAGGAUUGACAGAUUGAGAGCUCUUUCUUGAUUCGGUGGGUGGUGGUGCAUGGCCGUUCUUAGUUGGUGGAGCGAUUUGUCUGGUUAAUUCCGAUAACGAACGAGACUCUAGCCUGCUAACUAGGCGAUUUCCGGUACCCACAAUAGUGUUACCGGCGAUUCAAUUUCUUCUUAGAGGGACAGGCGGCUCCUAGCCGCACGAGACUGAGCAAUAACAGGUCUGUGAUGCCCUUAGAUGUCCUGGGCCGCACGCGCGCUACACUGAAGGAAUCAGCGUGUCUUCCCUGGCCGACAGGCCCGGGUAACCCGUUGAACCUCCUUCGUGCUAGGGAUUGGGGCUUGCAAUUGUUCCCCAUGAACGAGGAAUUCCCAGUAAGCGCGAGUCAUAAGCUCGCGUUGAUUACGUCCCUGCCCUUUGUACACACCGCCCGUCGCUACUACCGAUUGAAUGAUUUAGUGAGGUCUUCGGACUGGUGCGCGGCGGUCGGUCUUACCGGCCGCCGAUGUUGCCGGAAAGAUGACCAAACUUGAUCAUUUAGAGGAAGUAAAAGUCG